rnacentral:lncRNA from 1 species
CUUGGAGUGCUUCCAGUCCCAGUGCGCCAGGGCCGGGACGCACCCCCACCGCGAUGGUGUUGAAGUGCAGCUGGUCGGCAGCGGCAGGAAGGUACUGGACCUGUCGGGAUCGAUGCGAAUGUUGGAGGGAUGUGUGCGUGUGUGAGAGGGUGUGGUGAGAGUUUGAGCGAAGAAGCGAAGAUGGGCGUUUUUAGGGAUCGACACCGAUGUUCCAAAAUUUUGAACAGAACAGACCACAAAAGUGGUGUGGCAUGUUUGACACUCCGGUCUUCUAUAACCAAUCUUUUUAGCUGUUUGGACUGUUUGAGGCUUGCGCACAAGUGGCAAAAAAGUGGAAUGCAUACGCAUUGAGGUAUCGAUAUCGCUUUUGCAUGUUAAGGGUCGUAUAACUGGCUCUGGGAAAGCCAUUUCUGAUAUCUGCCAACGUAUCAUUCCCCGACGUUUCAGAGCCUGGGCGUUGAGAACCAACCUGGACACCUGCGCGAGGUGCCGCAUCUGAUAUGCGAACCACACGCCCGGCUAGCAGUGUUAUACCCGCGAGCAGUUGGCCAGAUGAAGCUCCAGUAUCGGUUCCUGCGGAGUCUGCUCAGAGUGUCGAUGGAAGGCCUCGUCGUUGCAGCGCGUCGUUCGACUUGCCCAUGGACAUGUGCGAACGAGUGCGCGGUCGAUUCUCGUACCUGAAAUGACUACACAUCGCAGCCCAGGUGCAUGUCGCAGAAUUGAUUGGCCUAAUGUGGCGCCGUGCUGUGGGUUCCGGGCAAUCACGCAAACCGUCGCUGCCAUAGGACGGCCCGUGGACCGGUACUGUAGUACGCUUUACUAGACCGCCAAACAAAGGCUGUGAGGCGUGCUAUUUGAGUUUUUCAAGCUCAUUCGGAAAGCUUUUCGCGAAAACGUAAGCACGUGUGCGACCUGUCAGUUGAUCCUGGCGUACAAACUCUAGCGAAA